UACGUAGGGUGCGAGCGUUAUUCGGAAUUACUGGGCGUAAAGGGCGCGUAGGCGGUUGCUCAAGUCAGGCGUGAAAGCCCCGGGCUCAACCUGGGAACCGCGCUUGAGACUGGAGAACUAGAGUUCGGGAGAGGAUGGUGGAAUUCCCAGUGUAGAGGUGAAAUUCGUAGAUAUUGGGAAGAACACCAGUGGCGAAGGCGGCUCACUGGUCCGGUACUGACGCUGAUGUGCGAAAGCGUGGGGAGUAAACAGG
rnacentral:rRNA from 1 species